rnacentral:rRNA from 1 species
UACGGAGGGUGCAAGCGUUAUCCGAAUUUACUGGGUUUAAAGGGUGCGUAGGCGGCUUUUUAAGUCAGUGGUGAAAGCCUGGCGCUUAACGCCAGAAAUGCCAUUGAUACUGGAGAGCUUGAGUCAAGAAGAGGUAAGCAGAAUUCAUGGUGUAGCGGUGAAAUGCAUAGAUACCAUGAGGAAUUCCAAUAGCGAAGGCAGCUUACUGGUCUUUGACUGACGCUGAGGCACGAAAGCGUGGGGAGCAAACAGG